UUUAUUUGAUAGUACCUUACUACAUGGAUAUCCGUGGUAAUUCUAGAGCUAAUACAUGCGAAAGGUCGCGCAAGCGGCUGUAUUUAUUAGAUAAAAAACCAACCCUUCGGGUCUUUGGUGAUUCAUGAUAACUCAACGAAUCGGAUGGUCUUGCACCGCCGAUGGUUCAUUCAAAUUUCUGCCCCAUCAACUUUCGAUGGUAGGAUAGUGGCCUACCAUGGUUUCAACGGGUAACGGGGAAUUAGGGUUCUACUCCCGGAGAGGGAGCCUGAGAAACGGCUACCACAUCCAAGGAAGGCAGCAGGCGCGCAAAUUACCCAAUCCCGACACGGGGAGGUAGUGACAAUAAAUACUGAUGCGGGGCUCUUUUGGGUCUUGCAAUUGGAAUGAGUACAAUCUAAAGCCCAUAACGAGGAACAAUUGGAGGGCAAGUCUGGUGCCAGCAGCCGCGGUAAUUCCAGCUCCAAAAGCGUAUAUUAAAGUUGUUGCAGUUAUAAAGCUCGUAGUUGUACCGUGGACUUGGCUGCUGGGAUGUCUCUAUGAGCGUGUACCAGUCGGCCGGGUCUUCCAUCUGGGGAUACUUGCGUCACUUUACUGGGACGGUUGGGUAACCAGACGAUUUUACUUUGAGAAAAUUAGAGUGUUCAAGGCAGGCGUUUGCUCGAAUACAUUAGCAUGGAAUAAUGGAACAGGACGUGCGUCCGUAUUCUGUUGGUUUCUACGGACGCCGUAAUGAUUAAUAGGAUCAGUCGGGGGCAUCUGUACUCAGUGGCUAGAGGUGAAAUUCUUGGAUCCAUUGGGGACAAACUAAUGCGAAAGCAUUUGUCAAGGAUGUUUUCAUUAAUCAGUGAACGAAAGUUGGGGGAUCGAAGACGAUCAGAUACCGUCCUAGUCUCAACCGUAAAUCAUGCCGACUUGGGAUCGGACGAACGUUGUACUAUACAGUGACUCGUCAGGCACCAUGUGGGAAACUAAAGUAUGUGGGUUCUGGGGGGAGUAUGGUCGCAAGGCUGAAACUUAAAGAAAUUGACGGAAGGGCACCACCAGGCGUGGAUCCUGCGGCUUAAUUUGACUCAACACGGGGAAACUCACCAGGUCCAGACAAACUGUAGGAUUGACAGACUAAUAGCUCUUUCUUGAUUAUUUGGGUGGUGGUGCAUGGCCGUUCUUAGUUCGUGGACUGAUCUGUCUGCUCAAUUGCGCCAACGAACGAGACCCUUUCUUGCUUAAUGGCGGGUCGACUUUUGUCGUCUGUCAGCCUCUUAGAAGAACUGCUUAGCGAUGUUUCUAUCAGAAGCUAGCGGUAGCUUUUGGCAAUAACAGGUCAGUGAUGCCCUUAGAUGUUCUGGGCCGCACGCGCGAUACAAUGAUGGGCUCACCGAGUUUACAACCUGCUUCGAGAGUUGUGGGUAAUCUCUGAAUGCCUGUCGUGCUGGGGAUUGAGCAUUGCAAUUAUCGCUCAUCAACGAGGAAUGUCUAGUAAGCGUAUGUCAUCAACAUGCGUUGAAUUUGUCCCUGCUCUUUGUACACACCGCCCGUCGUUAGAACCGAUCGAAUGGCUUAGUGAGGCUCUUGGACCGGUGCUCGAGGGUUGGCAACGACUCUUUUGCGCUGGAAAAUGAUCCAAACUUGGUCAUUUAGAGGAUCUACAAGUCGUAACAAGGUUUCCGUAGGUGAACCUGCGGAAGGAUCAUU
rnacentral:rRNA from 1 species